rnacentral:rRNA from 1 species
UACGUAUGGGGCAAGCGUUAUCCGGAAUUAUUGGGCGUAAAGAGUGUGUAGGUGGUUACCUAAGCGCAAGGUUUAAUCUUGAGGCUCAACCUCAUUCUGCCUUGCGAACUGGGCUACUUGAGUGCUGGAGGGGAAAGCGGAAUUCCCAGUGUAGCAGUGAAAUGCGUAGAUAUUGGGAAGAACACCGGAGGCGAAGGCGGCUUUCUGGACAGUAACUGACACUGAGGCACGAAAGCGUGGGAGCAAACAGGAUUAGAUACCCCGUACGUCCUCGA